rnacentral:rRNA from 1 species
UACGGGGGGGCAAGCGUUGUUCGGAAUUACUGGGCGUAAAGGGCUUGUAGGCGGCCAACUAAGUCCGACGUGAAAUCCCCAGGCUCAACCUGGGAACUGCGUCUGAUACUGGAUGGCUUGAAUUCGGGAGAGGGAUGCAGAAUUCCAGGUGUAGCGGUGAAAUGCGUAGAUAUCUGGAGGAAUACCGGUGGCGAAGGCGGCAUCCUGGACCGACAUUGACGCUGAGGAGCGAAAGCUAGGGGAGCAAACGGGG